GGUACCUGAUCCCUGCGCUGAUUGAGUACCAUCUGUGUGUGUCUUUAAUGGUGGAGAACUCAUAUGUGUCGGCUCAGGGGGUACAUCAGUAGUAGCUGUGGGAAUAGGAGCUAUGGAAGUAAUAAUAGGAGAAGUGGGUACCUCGAUAGGAGCAUUUGGAGUAGGCUCAGCAACUGAAUGAAUAUACGGAGGUACCUCUGGAUCAACUGUGAUACGAG
rnacentral:lncRNA from 1 species